UGUGGCAAACCGCGGCAAUAUACUAAAGUUGAAAUGAUACCGAGAAGAUUAGCAUGACCCCUGCACAAGGGUAAUGUGCAAACUCAUGAAGUGAUCCAUAUUUUU
ensembl:snRNA U6 U6 spliceosomal RNA